UAAAUACUACCUCCGUCCGGAAAUACUUGUCCUAGAGAUGAAUGUAUCUAGACUUAUUUUAAUUAUAAAUACAUCCAUUAUAUGCAUUUUUAGGACAAGUAUUUCCGGACGGAGGGAGUAUAAA
rnacentral:pre_miRNA from 1 species